rnacentral:rRNA from 1 species
AGUGAACGCUGGCGGCGUGCCUAAUACAUGCAAGUCGAACGAUGAAGUCCUAGCUUGCUAGGAUGGAUUAGUGGCGCACGGGUGAGUAAUAUAUAGUUAAUCUGCCCUACACAGAGGAACAACAGUUGGAAACGACUGCUAAUACCUCAUACUCCUAUUUGACAUAAGUUAAAUAGGGAAAGUCUUUUCGGUGUAGGAUGAGACUAUAUCGUAUCAGCUAGUUGGUAAGGUAAUGGCUUACCAAGGCUAUGACGCGUAACUGGUCUGAGAGGAUGAUCAGUCACAUUGAAACGAAGAAACGGUCCAAAAUCCUACGGGAGGCACGAAUAAGGGAUAUUGCAACAUGGGGGAACCCCUGACGGCCCAACGCCCGGUGAAGGAUGACAUUUUUGGGGGCGAAAACUCUUUUUAACAGGAAAAAAUAAGACGGGUCCCGAUUAAAUAACCACCGGUAAACUCCGU